rnacentral:lncRNA from 1 species
UUAAUUGAGGAACCAUUACCAUGAGCUUCCAAGAGAGAGAGAUCCAAGAUACAUUGAGGAGUCUUUCCAAGAGUUCAUUUGAUUGUUGAUUGCUUGAGUUUACGCUUACUUGCUUGUUUAUUCCAAAGGAUGGGAGCUACUUGGAUCAUCAAUAUGAUCUCAAGAGAGGAACUCCAUUGUGGUUUUGCUUCUUAUCCCUCACCUUUCUGCUUUGCUUAGGAUUUUAGCCCUUCUUCUUCUUCUUCUC